CACAGAGCUCUACUCUAGCACUUUCAAGCAUCUGGCCUGAGCCACUGUAGGCAUAUAGCUUCAUUUCCUGAAUCAAAGUAUCAUCAGCAACGUGUAUGCAUGCGAGAAGGAGGGGGAGAAAGAAGAAAAAGGAGGAGGCUGUCUGCCCACGUCUAAAUGGAACGAUGAACUACCAUUCAGAGGUACACAAGUUAAGGCAUCAAAAGUUGAAGAUCUAGUUCUCUACACCUCAUAUCUACUGUAAUUUUCUGAAGGAAGCUGUCAUACAUCCUUGUAUUAGAGGAAAGCUGUGGAAGUAAAACUAAGACAGACAAAUUUAAAUUUUGUCAAUAUUAUUAAGAGCUGUGUUCCCAUUCAAGCAAGCUAGUAUCAAUUGAGUAUGUGUGUGCUUACGAGCAUUAGGAUUGAUCUGCACAAAAAAUUUAGUAGACCACAUGCUGAAAAAGCUAAUGACUUGGUGUAUCUCUAUGUAUCAUAAUGGCAGAUACAGAAGACUGCUAGAUCUAACUGCUUAAUAGACAGGGCACUCAUUUACCAUGUUCUACUUUUUUUUUCAUUUGGACAAUAUACUUGUCUGUGGAUUGUAC